GAUGAACGCUAGCGGCAGGCCUAACACAUGCAAGUCGAGGGAGAAGCCCUUUCGGGGGCAGAAACCGGCGCACGGGUGCGUAACGCGUAUGCAACCUACCUUUCACAUGGGGAUAGCCCGAAGAAAUUUGGAUUAAUACCCCAUAAUAUUAUUGGAUGGCAUCAUUUGAUAAUUAAAACUGCGGUGGUGAAAGAGGGGCAUGCGUCCUAUUAGCUAGUUGGAGUGGUAACGGCACCCCAAGGCUACGAUAGGUAGGGGUACUGAGAGGGAGAUCCCCCACACUGGUACUGGGACAGGGACCAGACUCCUACGGGAGGCAGCAGUGAGGAAUAUUGGUCAAUGGUCGGAAGACUGAACCAGCCAUGCCGCGUGCAGGAAGAAUGCCUUAUGGGUUGUAAACUGCUUUUAUAUGGGAAGAAUAAGGCGUACGUGUACGUUGAUGACGGUACCAUAUGAAUAAGCAUCGGCUAACUCCGUG
rnacentral:rRNA from 1 species